AUAAAAGCUUUGACAGGGACUAUUAAAUAUGAUGUAUAUUUUAAAGCGAGUGGGAUCUGGUGUAAACCCAUAAAUAUUUCAUAUUGAAACUCACCCUUGAGCUGUAAGCUGAAAUUAUAGUAAGCUGUGCCGGUGUGAAUCGUUAUUGAAUUAAGUAAUAAAAUUGGGUGGUACCGCGAACAGACUUCUCGCCUCAAGA
rnacentral:ncRNA from 1 species